rnacentral:tRNA from 1 species
GGGGUUGGUAUAGCUCAGUGGUAGAGCAUGUGCUUAGCAUGCACAAGGUACUGGGUUCAAUCCCCAGUACCUCCA